GAAAAAGACAUACCCCACCCGCAGCCCAAACCCUAGCUCAGAUCCCCCAUCGCACCCCUCCUCCCUCGUCCCCAUCUCCUCGCCGCCGCCACCCACUCCUCGUCGCCAGCCUACGGCGCCCGAUGCCGCCCGAUUCCUCCACCCUCCGACGGCGCCUGAUGCCUUCUCCUCCGCUCCAUCCUCCACUUGGACUAGAUCUGGCGCGCACGUCCCACACAUCGACCGUGCCCUCCCACCCACACAUCGCCACCACCACCCACCGUCCCGUCUGACCUUGCCGCCUCCACCCAUGCCGCAUCUGACCUCGUCUCCGGCCGCCGCUC
rnacentral:rRNA from 1 species